rnacentral:lncRNA from 10 species
CACAGCUCCCCACUCCAUCUGUGCUCGAGAGCCACCUAGAGCUUCGUGUAUUCUCUCCCUUGCUGGCCUAGCUCCUGACUUGGAGUGCUGGGAGAUUUGGGUUCCUGGAGUUCUGGGCCUGCUCUGCUGUUGGCUCACUUAGUGACCUUGGCCUGGGCCUCAGUCUCUGGACCUCAGUCUUCCAAACUGUAUGCUGGGUUGGGGGCCUCCAGGCUUCCUGGGGAGCCAGGGUCAGAAGG